AGCAGCCGCGGUAAUUCCAGCUCCAAUAGCGUAUAUUAAAGUUGUUGCAGUUAAAAAGCUCGUAGUUGAAUUUCGGGAUUAGUACGUCGGUCGUGCCUUCGGUACGUACUGGUGUUCUGAUUCCUACCUUCUGACGAACCAUCAUGUCAUUAAUUUGGUGUGGCGGGGAAUCAGGACUGUUACUUUGAAAAAAUUAGAGUGUUUAAAGCAGGCUCGCGCUUGAAUACAUUAGCAUGGAAUAAUGAAAUAGGACGUUGACCCUAUUUUGUUGGUUUCUAGGAUUGACGUAAUGAUUAAUAGGGAUAGUUGGGGGCAUUAGUAUUCAAUUGUCAGAGGUGAAAUUCUUGGAUUUAUUGAAGACUAACUACUGCGAAAGCAUUUGCCAAGGAUGUUUUCAUUAAUCAAGAACGAAAGUUAGGGGAUCGAAGACGAUCAGAUACCGUCGUAGUCUUAACCAUAAACUAUGCCGACUAGGGAUCGGAUGAUGUUAUUUUUAAUGACUCA
rnacentral:rRNA from 1 species